GUGAACCUGCGGAAGGAUCAUUACCGAGUUGAUUCGGGCUCCGUCCCGAUCCUCCCACCCUUUGUAUACCUACCUCUGUUGCUUUGGCGGGCCGCGGUCUUCCGCGGCCGCCCCCCGAUUUUGGGGGGUGGCUAGUGCCCGCCAGAGGACUAUCAAACUCCAGUCAGUAAACGUUGCAGUCUGAAAAAAAUAUUAAAUAAACUAAAACUUUCAACAACGGAUCUCUUGGUUCUGGCAUCGAUGAAGAACGCAGCGAAAUGCGAUAAGUAAUGUGAAUUGCAGAAUUCAGUGAAUCAUCGAAUCUUUGAACGCACAUUGCGCCCCUUGGUAUUCCGGGGGGCAUGCCUGUUCGAGCGUCAUUUCAACCCUCAAGCUCUGCUUGGUAUUGGGCACCGUCCUUUGCGGGCGCGCCUCAAAGACCUCGGCGGUGGCGUCUUGCCUCAAGCGUAGUAGAAUACACCUCGCUUCGGAGCGUAAGGCGUCGCCCGCCGGACGAACCUUCUGAACUUUUCUCAAGGUUGACCUCGGAUCAGGUAGGGAUACCCGCUGAACUUAAGCAUAUCAWUAGRCGGAGGAAAUCAUUAC
rnacentral:rRNA from 1 species